UCCUUGGUGGUCCAGUGGCUAAGACUCAGCACUCCCAAUGCAGGGGCCCAGUUUCAGUCCCUGGUCAGGGAG
rnacentral:tRNA from 1 species